UACGGGGGGGGCAAGCGUUGUUCGGAAUUACUGGGCGUAAAGGGCUCGUAGGCGGCCAACUAAGUCAGACGUGAAAUCCCUCGGCUUAACCGGGGAACUGCCGUUGAUACUAUCUGUCUUGAAUAUCGUGGAGGUUAGCGGAAUAUGUCAUGUAGCGGUGAAAUGCAUAGAGAUGACAUAGAACACCAAUUGCGAAGGCAGCUGGCUACACGGUAAUUGACACUGAGGCACGAAAGCGUGGGGAGCAAACAGG
rnacentral:rRNA from 1 species